UACAGAGGUCUCAAGCGUUGUUCGGAUUCAUUGGGCGUAAAGGGUGUGUAGGUGGCGCGCUAAGUCGGGUGUGAAAUUUCGGAGCUUAACUCCGAAACUGCAUUCGAUACUGGCGUGCUUGAGGACUGGAGAGGAGACUGGAAUUCAUGGUGUAGCAGUGAAAUGCGUAGAGAUCAUGAGGAAGACCAGUGGCGAAGGCGACACGCUGGGCCGUACCUGACACUGAACCGCGACAGCAUGGGGAGCAAACAGG
rnacentral:rRNA from 1 species